AAAUCAACUGUUUGGAAAUUUUUCGAUAGGAAAAACAAAGAUGAAGCUCAAUGCAAUAAGUGUGAUAAGAUCAUGAAGUCUUCUGGAGGAUCUACUACGUCUCUGAUCUUGCACUUGAAGAAAAUUCAUCAAAUCAACAUAAAUCAAGAUGCAAACCAGCCUCCUUGUAAGAAGAAGAAGG